UACGUAGGUGGCAAGCGUUGUCCGGAAUUAUUGGGCGUAAAGCGCUCGCAGGUGGUUCGUCGCGUCGUGCGUGAAAGACCCCGGCUCAACUGGGGAGUGUCGUGCGAUACGGGCGAACUGGAGGCCAGUAGGGGGAUGCGGAAUUCCGGGUGUAGUGGUGGAAUGCGUAGAGAUCCGGAGGAACACCAGCGGCGAAGGCGGCAUCCUGGACUGGUCCUGACACUCAGGAGCGAAAGCGUGGGGAGCGAUCCGG
rnacentral:rRNA from 1 species